AGAGAACCACCAGGCAAUGUGCCUCUUUCUUGGUUGUAGGAGGAGCCAGAUGCAACAAGUUACCAUUCACCUUAAAUGGGAUAUUUGGACAUGCCUUAUACCACUGGACUCUUAUAUUUUACUGAGUUACAGUGCUGCUGUUUGCAUGAGUUAAGAUUCAUCACUGGCACCCUGGACGCCUCACCCAGGACCCUAAAAUGCACCUUGCUGCUGACAGAUUGGUUGGUGAUCCACUGGACUCCCAAACUAUUGCUCCAGAUAAAUAUCCUUUGAUGCUGGACAUAAUUGGAAACAUUGGCUAUAUUAUCAAGGCUUUGCCUGGAAUGUCAUAUUUGAGAAUGAUGUGCAUUGAAUCAAAUACGAUCAGACAGCUUUAAGAACGUGAUUGACUUAAGGGAUAAAUGCUUAUAAAGCCCCCCUUUGGAGAAAAUCGCCUCAACCUGGCUAAUAGUGUUCCCUGUCUUAGAGGUGAGCAAGGAUGGCAAGUUCAUGGCAGGACCUGGAACCACAGGCUAUUUUGGAGAACUUGAGAAAGAGGAAUUUGCUCAAAUAUAUGGGUAUUGCCAGCAAAAUGUGAUGACAAGAACUAGGCUUGACUUCUUAGCCUAAAGAGGUCUUUUAAUUUCUACUCUGCGAUUCCUUAAGAAAAGUUCCAGCAUACAAGCUCAAAACACCUCUGUGGCCAAUCAUUAUUCUUGCUGACUUAGGUAAAAAAUAAAGCAAAGUUGAAUAAGACUAGAGUUAU